GACGAACGCUGGCGGCGUGCUUAACACAUGCAAGUCGAACGAAGUGGCGGACGGGUGAGUAACGCGUAAUCAACCUGCCCUUCAGAGGGGGACAACAGUUGGAAACGACGGCUAAUACCGCAUACUGAAGGAGGGGAUUGCGUCUGAUUAGCUAGUUGGAGGGGCAACGGCCAACCAAGGCGAUGAUCAGUAGCCGGUUUUGGAGGGUUAACGGCCACAUUUGGACUGGAGCACGGCCCAGACUCCUACUGGAGGCAGCAGUGGGGAAUCUUCCGCCAUGGACGAAAGUCUGACGGAGCAACGCCGCGUGAUUGAUGACGGCCUUCGGGUUGUAAAGCUCUGUUAAUCGGGACGCGGUACCGGAAUAGAAAGCCACGGCUAACUACGUGCCAGCAGCCGCGGUAAUUC
rnacentral:rRNA from 1 species